CUUCCCAGCAGGCCUCGCGUAGGAAUCCGGCCUUCCUAGUCUCCCGAGAUGGACGACGGGAGCCUUCUGACCGGUCGUGGCAAUCCCCCCUAGGAGCCAGGUUGAGCACGUUUUCAACCUGAGUUUCUGGCUCUAUACUGGGCCGCGGCCUAAUGACUCUAGGAGUCAGAUCUUUCCCAACUCUCAUAAUUCCACAUCCGAGAAGUGCCACCUCAUAACACUUCUCUGUUUUAAUCUGAAAGAAAUGCUGCCCCACCCAUCACUACCCUCCCAUAUGAUAAGGUGGACAGGGGAAAUAAACUGGUAGCCUGGCUGUGCUUCAUUUUGGAGGGUAUAUAGAGAGCCAGGAGGAAGGAGUGAACUCUGGCUCGUUCUCUUGUAUAAAAAAGCACCAGUGUCCUGGACUGGACACCCACUGCUAUAAAAGAUGCAGGGGGGCCCAGGGCCUGAUCGUCACCGACUGAUAUCCCGACUGGAGUCCCACAACUUGUUGGGCGGCUCAGCCCGAAGGCGGGCGAAGAAAGGAUGCUGAAGGGCUUCACCCAAGGUCAGCCGCUUAGCUGGUUCAUACUCUAGCAUGCUUUCAAUCAGAUCGAAGAGCUGGUGGUGUUCCUCUGCCUCUGAGGUCAGAUACCGCUGGUGGAGGAGGGCAGGAAAAAGGUGAGGCAGGAUGCCUUACAAACCCUGCCUUCUUCAAGACCCUACCUUUCAUUCUUGGAGAACCAAGGCUCUGCUUGCAACCAAUUUGAAGGCUACCUAACCACGACCACACCAGGACCAACGUUUCUGAUAUUAUAGCUCAACCUACCUUCCCACUAGCACAAUUA
rnacentral:lncRNA from 1 species